ensembl:snoRNA
CUGGCCCUGAAUGAAGGCCAACAACUUCCUGAUGCUGUUGGUAUCAAGCAGGAACCUAAAGAGAUGUCUUUCUACGUAUGGUCUGUUGGCCAUUUCAGAAUGUGGGCAGUGAAAUGGUCAAUUCAUUAGAAAGAAACAGCU